rnacentral:rRNA from 1 species
CGACGGGUGAGUAACACGUAUGCAAUCCACCUGUAACAGGGGAUAACCCGGAGAAAUCCGGACUAAUACCCAUAAUAUGGGCGCUCCGCAUGGAGAGUUCAUUAAAGAGAGCAAUUUUGGUUACAGACGAGCAUGCGCUCCAUUAGCCAGUUGGCGGGGUAACGGCCCACCAAGGCGACGAUGGAUAGGGGUUCUGAGAGGAAGGUCCCCCACAUUGGAACUGAGACACGGUCCAA